rnacentral:lncRNA from 1 species
AACUAUUAGCGUAUCCUAGGGUUAUAAGAAGUCUGAACACCCUUUUUUGAAGUUGGAAGGGGUGGGCUUCAGCAGGGCUGAACCAGCUAAUGGCCUGCAAAGAUGCAGGGGUAGGAUAAACAGUUCUUUUGAACCACAAAGGCUGUUGGGGGGCACCAGGGAUUGGAGGAAUGAAUGAGGCUGGGGUCUUUAAAGGAUAUCCAUAGCCAAUAUACCACAGAGAGCAAAUAUGAGGACUAGUUCUCAAGUUCAGAAUGUGUGGAGAUUAAAUGAAAGUGAAAACAGGGCAGAAACAAUUUGGAGAGGCCUGAGAUCAGAGCAAUCAGGGACAGUGACCUGGCACAAAGAGCGAGAAAUCAGGUUGAUGAGGGAUUUUACAGAAUAAAAUGCCUAAGAAGGCCAAAAAGCUAGUUUAGAAUCUGUCAACUAGUCAUUAACAAAUACUGAUGAAACAAAUAUUUAAAUACAUUUUUAAAAGAUGAAAUACUUUAAAAUAUGUGUAAUACAUUUACAAUUAGGGAUAUCUGCUUAAAAAUAGAAAAAGAAUAUGAUCUGGGAAAAGUAAUAGUAAUCUCAUGUCUUUGAAAGUUAUAGACUAAUUAAACAUUCCUUAAGAAUAUUUUAAAUAUAGGACUCCAGUUUCCUAAUCUCCAGAGGAGGUGGAAAACUCAAAUGCCCACAGAAGUCAGACAAAUAAUGUAAAUGUAUUAAACAGCCAGGUCUACUGCAAUGGGAGGUGGUGGGGACCUUGGCAAAUGGGACAAAUCAUGUUCUACCUAAAGAGGUCUUCCCCAGCAUUAAGACUUCCUGCUUAAUGCUGUCAUGCAGGAAGGUGGCCCAAUGUUGUAGCAUCUUCUGAUUUUUCAAAAGAAGCUAAAAGUCGGAAUGUUUACAUGUGCAUGUGUGCUUAUGCAUGCUUGUGUAUAUGUGUUAGAGAGGGAUCUUAGUUUUUAAAUGUUGAAAGAUAUUCUAAUUUUUUAAAAUACACUGAAGAUCCCAAGAGUUAAAGAAGAUAAGUUACUGCCCAAUAUUUAUGCUAACAACUAUGUGACUCCAUUUUUUUUUUUUUUUUUGCUUUUUAAGGGCCACAUUUGUGGCAUAUAGAGGUUCCCAGGCUAGGGGUCAAAUUGGAACUACAGCUGCUGGCCUACACCAGAGCCACAGCAACUCAGGAUCCGAGCCACGUCUGCGACCUACACCACAGCUCACGGCAACACCGGAUCCUUAACCCACUGAGCAAGGCCAGGGAUCGAACCCAAAACCUCAUGGUUCCCAGUCGGAUUCAUUUCUGCUGUGCCACGAUGGAAACUCUAUACUCCAUUCUUAAACUGUCUCAGCAUAUUAUAAACCCUAGUGAACAAUGGAGGUAGCUGUCAGGUGACCUCAAUAAUAUGUACUAGGACAAUGCAGAAAGAAGUGCUCAAGGAAAACUACCGGUAGACUCUGUGUUGUUGGUUCCUUAAGAAGGGGAACCACAUCUAUUUUGUUCUCUACUGUUUCACCAGUGCUGGCACAAUACUGGUCCAUAAUAGACCCUUGAUAAGCAGCCACUGAAUGAUUUAAUACAUGAGAUUCAAUAGAGAUGAGAGAAAGCAUUGGUAGAGGAGUUAAUUAACAUUAUAUCAUUAAAUUAUUCAGAGAAUGUUUAUAAUCACAUGGUUUAUACCCUGAAGUAGAUCAUAUCUAUCAGAUAAACAUUACAAAAAAUGACAAUAAAAUAAGACUUAGAAUUAGGGAAGAAAAAAUAAGUAUUCUGGCUAACACGAAAUAUUGAAACACACAUUUAUUCCCACUUUCUAAAAUGGGUUUAGCCUUCAAAAAAGGGGGGGAGGAGUUCCCACUGUAGCUCAGUAGGUUAAGAACACAACUAGUAUCCAUGAGAAUUCAAGUUCAAUCCCUGGCCUCACUCAGUGGGUUAAGGAUCCCAAGUUGCCGGAAGCUGAGACAUAGGUUGAAGAGGCAGCUUGGAACUAGUGUUGCUGUGGCUGUGUCAGCAGCUGCAGCUCCAGUUCUACCCCCUAGCCUGGCAACAUCCAUAUGCCACAGGUGCAGCCCUAAAAAGAAAAAAAAAAAAAAAAAGGAUUAGUUGAAGAUUAGCAGAAAUAAGGCACAGUUAAACAGUCAAUCAACCCAGUCUCUCUCCUACCUUAUAUAACAUGGUGACUUCUCCCCAAUCCAGGCAGAAGACAGGAGGUUAAUUUCAGGAGAGGUUUGUAGCCCUGAGGAGGAGGAUGAAACCCAGUAGUAGCAGUUAUAUGUUAUGGCGAUAAUGCUUUGUAACAACAAACCACAAAACCACAGUGGUAUUAUUCACUGAUAACAACUUACUGCCUAUAAAUGUGGCAUUAGCUGGAGAUGCAAACAUGUUGGGAGACUGGUUGACUGAUCUAGGCUCCCUUGGGCUAGGGUGCCUACAAGUUACUCUAUUAUGAUCCACAAGCCUUUCAUCUUCCAUCAGGAAAGCUCAAAAUGUACUGAUGACAUGUAUGAGAGAACAGACCAAAAUUCACAAGGUUUUUGGAGUCCUAGUCUGGGAAGUGACACACUUUCAAUUUUGCCAUAAACUUUUGCCUAAAGUAAGUAGCAAGCCAGACCAGAUUUAACACAUGGAGAAAGAGACCCCAUCUCUGUAGUGAAAGAAAUGGCAGAAUCAUACAACAAAGGGCGUGAAAACAGCGAGGUGUGAAGAAUUGGCACUGUGUUGUUAGUAAUUUAUCACACUUGUACUAAAAAAGAGGGUAAUUAAGGGAAAGUCUGCACCCUGAGGAGUGAGACUCCCACAUUCCAUGCCCACAUUCAGCUCUGAGAACUAGCAUUCAACCUUAGACCUCAAAACAGGGUAAAAUUUCUCUUCAGAGACUGAUGGAGAGAAGAACUAAGAUUCAGACAUUUUGGGGACACCGCUCCCCUUCCAUGAGAAAUCUGUUUGACUCCCUUGUUAAUCUUCUGUGAAGCACAAUGCCAAUAUACAUUUUAGUGUCUCACUUACAAUUAUGAAUGGACAACCUAGGUUCACUAGACAUUUGAGGAACUCUCCUAACACAAAAGCAGAAAGAAAUAACCAAACAAAAAAGCUGAGGAAGAAGAGACAAAGUGCAGGGAGCAGAAAAAACUUAAAAACCUGUUAAAUCAUUUUUCAAAUUAUAAAUUAAAAACUAUUACAACCAAAAUAGUUAUUCAAUAAAAGGUUAGAAAAUUAUUAAGUUUAAAAGAGACUCAAAAGUACAGUAGGCAAGAGAUGGAAGAUUAGGAGAGAAAGAUAAAAAAAGUCUGAAAAAUCAUUAGAGGAGAUUGAAUAUUGAAUCUCAAUAUUCUCUCCUAAUGUUCCAUCUCUUGUCAUUUUGAGCAUUGCCUUGUAUUAGAUACAAGAAGACAAUUCCUGAAACAAAAGCUACUCAGCCAUAAUGUACAGACCUGGUAAUUAGAGCAAAUUAUAUAUUUUCUUUAUUUCUUAAGAGCAGAUAUCUAUUCCUUGGUUUUCCACUCAAGAAUACCACUUUAUUUCAUAUAUAUUAAAUAUCCAUGUUGCAAAUAGAGGUAGAAAUUACAUCAGAAAAUAAAGAUGCUCCAUUAUCAGGAAGUCCCUGUGUUUAUUUAUAUAGUCAGCAGCAUCUGAAAAAAAUCAGUGGUGUCAAGGUUGAAGGAUAAGAUUUCUUAAGCAGAGCCAUCACUUCGCUUGUCUAUUUGUUGGGAGUGUUCAAGUCUGUAGCCGCUCACAGGACGCUCCUUAUCUCAUUUGGGGUCUGGUAACAUUUUCAGCACACAGUGUUCCUUGACUAGUGCUGUUAACAAAUCCAAACCACUGUGAGACACAAGUCCCCCAAGUAUACUCCAUUCCUCCCCCCAAACAUGGCACCAGGACCACAACAAAAGCUUCAUUUCAUUAUUGGAAUAGUUGGCUCAACAUGGUCCUUGAAGAGCUCCAUCUUUUAAAUCAAUUAAUUAGGAACUGCUUGCUUUGGUCGACUGCUUACCAUGUCCCAGGCACUGUUCUAAGUGCUCGGCAGAUAAUCACUCAUUUUAUCUUCAAAGCAGAUCUUUACAUCAGGUAUUAUUAUUACUAUUAUUAUUACUACUACUAUUCAUCUAUGUUACAGAUAAGUCCCUCUCUCAGAAAUAGAGAUUCAGCGCAGCAGCAAAAUUUUUAACCCAAGCAGUUUAGUUUUGGAGCUCACUAAACUCUCCUGCUUUGAGUAUAUAAAAGAUUUAAAGAUCACAUACUUCUAGCCAAACAGGCUUUUAACUGCAGAAAUGUAUUCAAUAUUCCAGCUCAGUAUUCCCUCCCAAUUUUCAAAAGGGGCCACUGUUUGGGGGCCUGUGUUAUGUGAAUAGAUUACUAACUUCAGAUCCAGAAAUUAAGCAAACACUGCCCAGCAAAUUCCAGAAGGCUCAGCCCUGGCUUUCCAAGAGGGCAUAAAUUGUCCAGGACAUGAUGGAGCCUCUGUCUUCAUGAGCAUAGAGACUUAAAUCUGUGUACUAGACACUAUGUUAAGUGUUUUUGUGCUUAUUUGACAUAGGCCUCACCACAAGGCUGGGAGACAGCCAUUAAUUAAUUUCACAUAUUACAAAUGAGGAAACUGAGGCAUGGAGAGGAUAAAUCAUUUACCCAAAAACCCACUGCCAGGAAGUGCCAAGGAUAGGUUCAACCCAGUUCUAACACUAAAGCCCACGUCUUUCCAUACUACAAAGUUAAAUAAACCAUGGUGGAGAGCCCUGGUCACUUAAAUCAUGAGUAGUUUGUAGCUCUGCACUCCAUGUUUUUCAUCUCUAAAUAGUAUACUCUAGAAAGAUACCUCAUAGAAAAGCUUUGAAAAAGUCCCCAUCGUGGCUCAGCGGUUAACAACCCGACUAGGAUCCAUGGGGAAACAGGUUUGACCUCUGGCCUUGCUCAGUGGGUUAAGGAUCUGGCAUUGCUGUGGCUGUGGCCGGCAGCCAUAGCUCCAAUAGAACCCCUAGCCUGGGAACCUCCGUAUGAGGCAGGUGCAGCCCUAAAAGG